rnacentral:tRNA from 1 species
GCCGUGGUGGCGGAAUUGGUAGACGCGCACGACUCAAAAUCGUGUGAGGUAACUCAUGAGGGUUCGAUUCCCUCCCGCGGCACAA